rnacentral:misc_RNA from 1 species
UCAAACUUGGUCAUUUAGAGGAAGUAAAAGUCGUAACAAGGUUUCCGUAGGUGAACCUGCGGAAGGAUCAUUAACAAUUGUCCAUAAUAUUAUGGAUAAUUUUAUCCAUAUCCACCUUGUGUGAAUCAUUGAAGUGUAUGUUGGCAGGCUAAGCUCUCUUUUGCUGAGAGCUGUGGGUGACUGGCUCGGCCUGCCAAUUUUAUUAUGUUAAACCUGUCUAAAUUAACCUGUCUGAUAUUAUAUCUUAUAAUAUAAAUACAACUUUCAACAACGGAUCUCUUGGCUCUCGCAUCGAUGAAGAACGCAGC